AAAACAAGAGAUAUUUAUUUGAAACUUGAAACACCCAAUUUGCAGCAGAAGUGACAGGCACAUACAGUGUCAGGCUGCCCUCUCCCCACUGACAUUGCCAGGAUUAAAAAUAGCCGUUCUGUUUGUCCUUCAGCUCUGUAUUGAACUGGAGCCUCCGAGCCGAGUUCUCCUUAGCUUCACGCUUAAUGAAGCAUAAUUUGUAUUAAUAGCAGCCAUUAAAUCUGGAGUGCUUAAAAGGAAUUUAGAGGGGAGGCACUGAGUCACUGAGCUCCUCAGACGUGGUCCCCAGAGAUCUGAGCUCAGGCCUGGCUGCUGGUGGCCAUGAAUCUUGGGCCCGGUGAGGUGAGGCAGCUGUGGGUGGAACGGGAGAGCAGCAGGGCUCAAAUCUACCAUCAGCCUCAGGUUUUCUCAGGGCCCAGGUCCUUUGAGGUGGUCGCUGCGUCAGGUAGUGGCUGCAUUCCAGAAAAGGUGGUGUUGGGUCCUGGGAACAAGUGGACUUGACAAUUUUACAGACCUACAUUCAGAUUUGGGUUCUGCUGUAUGAACUGGCUCUGUCUCUGAAGCUCUCUGAACCUCAGGAUUUUUUCUUCUGACCUGAGAAAUGGAGAUAACUGAAUAGGGAUAAUAUAUAAUAUAAUGUAAGAGGAAUUACUAUGAAGAAUAAUAAGAAAAGACAGAAAUGAAAUUUGAUGAUAGUUCUGAGUUGAAUUGGAGCUGCAGCAGCAGGCCUACACCACAGCCAUGGCAACACCGGACUGGAGCCACAUCUGCAACCUACACUGCAGCUUGUGGCAACAUUGGAUUUUAACCCACUGAUGGAGACCUGGGAUCAAACCUGCAUCCUCACAGAGAUAAUGUCAGGUCCUUAACCCACAGAGGCACAGUGGAACUCCAAAACUAUAUUCAUUUUAAAUAUCAUAAGGAAGGAUUUCUGUAGAAAACGAUUAUGGGAAGCAAAAUAUCUCCUUUUAGACCUCCAUUAGCAAGCAUUUCCUUACUUGCCCAGGAACUUCCCUCCACUAACAUACAUUUGUUCGUAUUUUCACUGCUCUGAAUCCCCUGUCUCUGCCCCCACCUCAGCACCUCAUGUCUCCUUAAAGGCAGUGGGAGAGGAAAAUAGUCCUUCUCUUCUUGGACCCUUUAUUGCCUUAGCACAGGAUCCAGAAUAAAGCAGGUAUGCAAUCGUGUAGUUGCUGUCAUCACUGUCAUUUCACAAUUAAGAAAACAGAGUUAAACACAGGAAUUGUCUAAUUGUCCUUUAUAAUAUUCUUACCAGCUGCUUGCCCCUGGACAAAUCACAUAGUCCAUCUGGGCCUCAAUUUCCAUGUCUGCAAAACGAGGUUAAUAACAGUAGAACUUCAUAGGUUGUUGAGAAGAUUAACUAUAAAUAUAAAGCACUUAGAUUGUACUUGUGCCAUGUAGUAGUUAUUUUUUACUAGAAAUGCUAUAUAGCUAUUUCCACUAGAGCAGAAAAGGCUGGGGAGCCUUCAGUGCAUAGCCUGUGGUGUUUUCUGACAGUUGAACGUUCAGUGUGAAUGUUCUUUUCUGCUCUGGGCUGUGGAGUGAGUCCACGUGAUGGAGGCCUGGCUCCAAGCACCACUCCUGCUCAGCACUUGGGUAGGUGGAAGAAGGCAGCAGAACCAGAACAUUCAAAGAAAUGAUCAAGUUGGCAGCCUCCAGUUGGAAGGCUCUGAUUAAGGCAAGGCAUUGCAACAAUGCCCCGGGGCUAUUUAAAACAUGCCUAGGAGAAGAUGCCUUUAACCAUCUACUAAGGCCCUGAAGCAGGAGGGUUCAUAGCGGCUCUUGUCUUGAACUCAGGCAGCCACAGGAAAACAGACAUGAAGACAUGGCCCUGUGGAGCCUGAACGUCCUCACUGAGUGAUUUUUUCCAAGGAGCUGAUGUUACGAGAGGAGGAGACUGCUGACGGGUGUAUUGGUGUAAAGGUCAGUGAGAAGCUCUCCGUUUCAUGAGCAAGUUCAUGAACCUGUGACUGUCCACCUCGUGGACAGGGGAUUCUAUUAUUCAUUUCUAUGAUGUUGGCUUAACUGCAAUGAGCCAGUUACAGAGGUGAGCACUUUGUUGGAUCAUGUACAUCCAAACCAGUGUUCCCAGAAUGUUUGCUCCUCUGUGGCGUGUAGGCGGCUUCUGCAGGGUUGAUGACCUGGCAGGAGCUGAGCCAGAUCCCACAGCCCCAGCUAAAUUAGCCCUUGGACAAAAAAGGACUCUGUGUUUGCAGAUGAGUAAACUGUGGAGUGACUGAGGGUAGCACAGGGGCAGAGAAAUAGUAAUAGCACCGGCUUACAAGUUUGCCCCCCAUUCCUUCACUGAGUGCCGAGGUGCUAGGUUUAAGCGGAGACAGUGGGUAUGAGACAGGCUGGAACCUGAAACCUGGGUUCCUUUAUUGCAGUGCUUACACCCAGACAAAUGUCUCCUUGAUCAAUAAACACAAAGAA
ensembl:lncRNA